AUAUGGUCUUUUAUAAUUUAAAAGUGUGUGUUUUAGUUCUAAGUAUAUUUUUUUAAAUAUUUUCAGUAAUUAAUUAAGUUUUAUUUUUUUUCAAUAUAAUAUUCAUUAUUCUAUUUUUAGGCUGAAAUAAAGUGUACGUGUUUUAUUAAUAAUAUUAUAUAUAAAGAAUUAUAUACUGGAAAAUAACCUAUAGAGAUUGCAUGGUCUUUUAAAUAAAUGUUUAAAUAAUAAUAAUUGACCAAAUACAUUAAAAGUGAUAUAAGACUAGCCUAUCCAUAUUUGCCACCUGUCGUUUAAUCUUUUUUCUGAAGAAAGGGAAGGGGUCUCUUUAGUUUAGAUUCCAAAAUUGGAUUCAAAAUUUUUGGUGAUCCAUGGCUGACUUCAUGAAGCAAAUGUUGUCCAGACCAGUCCAAGUAGCAGAUAAGGUGACUGAUAUUGCAGAAAGUGCUCUGAGCUCACCUCCCAAACUGAGAAGCUUGCAGCACUCUUCGGCCCAGAUGGUAACUCCAAGCAAGCAAGCUCUGUAUUCAGAUCAUCCGUGAGACUGACAGACAGACCGAGGAAGGAAGUUCUUAACAGGAGGAUCCUUUCUCUUCUUUUCAAAUGCUGCAGUGAUGGCCUCAGGAACUCUGUCUCACCUGAAAAUCCCUGCUUCUGACUUCAGUAAAUUUAUUUUCAGUUGGAAAAUGCUUUUGUGGAUUUGACUCAGAUUUAGCUGGUGUUGAUCAUGAAGAAGGGUAGCAUCAUUCAUCCUCAAAAGAAGAAGAAGAGCAUCUCCCUCUUGAGGCCUACAAAGAACCUACACUUUGGGCACCAUGGCAACUUGCUGAAGAUGGAAAUAUUGCUUACAAUUACUUAUUGUUCUGUUUUCUCCUUAUUGUUUUCUUAUAGUUGUAAUGGCUGUUCUUUUCUUCUUCAAUUAUUGUCCUUUUUUUAUCCUCUCGUAAUAUUUCAUUCUGGUGAGUAUCAAAGAGAAAAAGCAAUCAAUUAUGAUAAGUUUAGAUC